UCUCCUCGCCUCUGUUCCCCUUCCCAUCGGCUGUUUUCUUCCCAUCGGUUUGUUCCCCUUCACAUUUGAUUUUCAAUCCAAGCGCGGAACGACUUGGUGGGCUUCUGGCCAGAGAGAUGGCAGGGGAGGCCGGCGGAGUUUUGUCUUGUGAGCUAUGUGGGAACUUUUGCCAUGGCGGUGCUGACAACAACUUCAAGAUCGACAUUCGUGAUGAGUUCCUGUCUAAAGCGACUGUCCCAUGCAAUGCAAGAGUCUACGUCAAUGGUGUUACCGGGGACUACAUGCGUUUUGAAGCCCAUGGACGCAAGUACUCUGUCGACAUUGUGAAGGAGGCACACAGGACCAGGAUCAAGGGGAGUGGCUGGAAGAAAUUCACUUCUGACUUUUCUCUUUAGAAGGGUGCUGUGGUCAUUUUUGACUUGGACAGGCGUCCCCGCCAGGCAUAUGUUGUCGCUCAAAGUGUUGACUUGCACACAGUUGAAGGAAGCAUUUUUCAGACGGGGAUGCUGAUGAAAGAGAUGAUAGAUGGAGACAUCUCAGAUGUGGACGAAUACGGUGGCAGCAUAAAGAUUGAGUAUACAAGGGGUCUAACUCUGAAUGAUGCACAGCAGGACAUUCUCAAUGAACUGGUGCUCAGCUUCAAGUCCAAGUUUUUAGGAGUGUGUUUUGUACACUGCUUACUACAACCGACACUCAAGUUGGACAAAUGAAAGUGCCAGAGAGCGUUGCUACAAGCUUGAACAUCCCUAAAGAAGGGUUGGCUUGUGUUCGUCUAAGCAGUGGGGAGGCAAAGACUCGUGUUGAAUACAGCACGUCUACUGAUGGACGUAUAGCUUUCAACAAAAAGCAGUGGAGGCGUUUCCUUUCAAAGACUACCCUGGAAAUCAGUGACUGCAUCUUCAUGUUCUUCAAGGCCAGCAGCAAGUCUUGCAUGAAUGUUACUGUUGUCGUCAGCAAGCUUUAAGUUUCACUUUCUUUUUCGAGAAGCUAUGUUCCUAGUUAUGUAGUAUGCUGAUGCAAAACAUCGCUGCGGUCUUUUGUUUAUGCGGUUGACAAGAACCAAGUAACCCCCCCGGCUCGUCGUUUGCGAUGUUUAUUAUCUAUGUGUGUUUCAAAACUAUGUGGAAUAUGUGUGUUCUCGUAAUGAUAAGUGAUGUUAUA